GAUGAAGAACGUAGCGAAUUGCGAUACGUAAUGUGAAUUGCAGAAUUCAGUGAAUCAUCGAAUCUUUGAACGCAUCUUGCGCUCCUUGGUAUUCUGAGGAGCAUGCCUGUUUGAGUGUCAUUAAAUUCUCAACUACACUGACUUUGAAUUGGUGUGGCUUGGAUUUGGGGGGAAAAUUGUUGUGGGCUUUUUGUAUAGUCUGCUCCCCUGAAAUUGAUUAGCGGUACCUUUGUGGAACUGUCUACAGGUGUGAUAAUUAUCUACAUCUUAGACAUCUGCUGGAAUGCUGCUUUCUAAACCUUACUUGUAUUGACAAUCUUGACCUCAAAUCAGGUAGGACUACCCGCUGAACUUAAGCAUAUCAAUAAGCGGAGGA
rnacentral:misc_RNA from 1 species